UACGGGGGGAGCAAGCGUUGUUCGGAUUUACUGGGCGUAAAGGGCGCGUAGGCGGCCUCUGCAAGUCGACUGUGAAAUCUCCGGGCUUAACCCGGAACGGUCAGCCGAUACUGCAGGGCUAGAGUGCAGAAGGGGCAACUGGAAUUCUCGGUGUAGCGGUGAAAUGCGUAGAUAUCGAGAGGAACACCGGUGGCGAAGGCGGCAUCCUGGGCCGGUAUUGACGCUGAGGAGCGAAAGCCAGGGGAGCAAACGGG
rnacentral:rRNA from 1 species